rnacentral:misc_RNA from 1 species
AUGAUGAACAGGUUGAUCAAAGAAGCCAGAUCAGCAAGAACAUGUUUGGUAGUAUACUUUCAUAAUUUAGGUCAGUUCGAUGGUCUUUUUAUACUAAGGCAUUUAACAAUGGAACACAGGGGUUUGGUAGUAGAACCCUUGGUUCGAAACCGUAUUAUUUACAAGAUAAGUGUCUAUACAGUAUCCCCCAAGGGCAGGCGAAAGAACAUAUUGUCGUUCCAAGACUCAUACCACCUUUUUAAAGGUAAAUUAGAAGAACUAGCCCGUUGUUUUUGUCCUAAACUAAACGGUAAGGGUGUUAUCAACCACGACAGUGUUUCGCUCGACAAUCUGGGGAUAUAUAAGGACGAUUACUUAUCUUACCUAAAACAAGAUAUUAUGCUACUAGGCGCUGUUAUGCUCGAAGCAAAAGCUAUCUAUUAUGAUUUGUAUCAGGUCGACAUACUUAAUCGAUUAACAAUAUCUUCACUGGCCCUCUCCAUCUUUAGGCGUAAAUACAUAAACGAUAGUGAAAAGAAUAGGAUCUACAUCCUAAACGACAAUGAAGAACAAUUCAUUAGGAGUGGAUACUACGGCGGUCAUACAGAUGUAUAUCUACCUACGGGGGAACAUUUGAAGUAUUACGAUGUGAAUUCUCUAUACCCCUAUUCUAUGUUAUCAGAGAUGCCAGCGGGCAAGCCUAGAUGGAAAAAUAAUCUUGGGUUAAAGAAAACCAAGAUUGAGCUGAAGGAUAUGUUUGGUUUCAUUAAAGCGUUCAUAAUAUGCCCUGCUGACAUGCACAAGCCAUUUCUACCUUAUAAACAGAGUGACGGUACGCUCAUAUUUCCAACUGGUAGGUUUAUAGGUGUCUAUUUUUCUGAGGAGCUAAAGUAUGCUGUAAGUAUCGGUUACAAGGUCUACCCAAUCUGCGGCUAUCUGUUUGACAGAAUGGAAUCACCAUUCAAGGAUUUUGUGAAUGAUAUCUACCGAAGAAGGCUUGAAGCAAAGGCUAGAGGGGAGAAAGCUUUAGAUUUUAUUCACAAGACCACUAUGAAUAGUCUCUACGGCAGGUUUGGUAUUAACCCUGAAAGCACUACCACCUUAAUUCUUAAUAAAGAAGAAGCACUCAAAUUCCCUAUGGAGCAUGAAGGAUUUAUG